CGGGCUGUAGCGCAGUUGGUAGCGCGCUUGCAUGGGGUGCAAGAGGUCGCACGUUCAAAUCGUGUCAGCCCGACAA
rnacentral:tRNA from 1 species